GCGGCUGUAGCUCAAUGGUAGAGCGUCGCCCUCCCAAGGCGAUGAUGCCGGUUCGAUUCCGGUCAGCCGCUCCA
rnacentral:tRNA from 1 species